rnacentral:tRNA from 1 species
GCACGGGUAGUUUAAUAAAGAAUGCAACGUUGAAGCUGUUGCGGUGGGCGUUAGUCCCUCGGGCA